rnacentral:rRNA from 1 species
AUCCAUUCAGUAGCAAUACUGAUGAAGAUCUAGUGGCGAACGGGUGCGUAACACGUGAGGAACUUGUCCCGGUCUCUGGGAUAACAGUUGGAAACGACUGCUAAUACCGGAUGACGUCGGAACUUCGCAUGGAGUACUGACGAAAGGGUUACUGGAUCGGGAGAGCCUCGCGGCCUAUCAGCUUGUUGGUGGGGUAACGGCCUACCAAGGCAUCGACGGGUAGCUGGUCUGAGAGGAUGAUCAGCCACACUGGGACUGAGACACGGCCCAGACUCCUACGGGAGGCAGCAGUGGGGAAUCUUGCACAAUGGGCGAAAGCCUGAUGCAGCAACGCCGCGUGCGGGAAGAAGGCCCUCGGGUUGUAAACCGCUUUCAGAAGGAACGAAACUGACGGUACUUUCAGAAGAAGGUGCGGCCAACUACGUGCCAGCAGCCGCGGUGACACGUAGGCACCAAGCGUUGUCCGGAUUUAUUGGGCGUAAAGAGCUCGUAGGCGGUUCAGUAAGUCGGGUGUGAAAACUUUGGGCUUAACCCAAAGCGUGCAUCCGAUACUGCUGUGACUUGAGUUCGGUAGGGGAGUGGGGAAUUCCUAGUGUAGCGGUGAAAUGCGCAGAUAUUAGGAGGAACACCGGUGGCGAAGGCGCCACUCUGGGCCGAAACUGACGCUGAGGAGCGAAAGCAUGGGUAGCAAACAGGAUUAGAUACCCUGGUAGUCCAUGCCGUAAACGUUGGGCACUAGGUGUGGGUUCCAACCAACGGAAUCCGCGCCGUCGCUAACGCAUUAAGUGCCCCGCCUGGGGAGUACGGCCGCAAGGUUAAAACUC